GCAGGCCUCCCAUGCUGUGGAAGGGGAUUAUAUCUGCCUUUUGAGAUACAGAGUUCUGGGAAAACCUGCUCUGCUUGCCGUUGCAGAGUGUAUACACAGACUUAGAAGGCAGGAGAUGCUGGGAGCAUCUGGCUUUUAUCAAAGUAUUCUUGCUUGCCCCAGCAAGCACCUGCCCAGCUCAACAACUUAUCCCAUCGGAGCCCAACAGUAAGAGGUACCCUGCUGGGUGACACAACCAGGGAACACAGCACAGACUGUGUCCUAAGAACAUGCAGUGUGUGGGGGCUGAUGGAUGUCAUAAUGUCCCUCUAGCACUGGGCUGGACUCAGGCCUUCCAGUAGACAGCCAAGAGAUAGUUGGAGUCCUGGGAUAAGGUGGGUGGAUAAGCGCCUCCAGGUUCCAGGACAAAUUUUCCUUGUGCACAGUCUGUACCUCAAACAGGACCGAACAGCUUCUUGCCUUUGUUCUCUCGCCCUCCCCCUGUGGGGUGUAGCAGCCUAGGUUGGUUGCACAGGUCUGAACCUACUGCAGGAGUCCUGAGGAAGCGGUCAGUGAGACUGCAGUACCAUAGCAUCACGUUCCUGACUGCCUCAGCACCUUUGUCCAGCUUUUCAGCACAUGAAAACCCCUGUUGGCUACUCUGCGUAUCUAAGGAAUAUGGAGAGAAAAGGCCAAAACAAGGUAAGGCAAGAGGAUUUUCUGUACUUUUUAGGUCUGUGAAUUAAAGAGUGCCCAUCAAGAGCCUGUUUCCUUUCUGGGAUGACAGCUCCAUGGUUGCAUACUGAUUCAUGUCAUCAGGUCUGUGUGCCACCAGGUCCAACAGUUUGGAAAUAGAUCUGUUUUCACUCUUGCUGUGGAGGCAAAACUCCUGCCAUCAAACCCUAUGAAGUGAUUUUUGCAGAGGCUGGGAGGACCUUGUACCCUGGUGGAUAUGCUUCUGUAGGGAUUGAUUGUCUUGAGGUUUGUCAAUCUGAGAAUACCACACAGCAUGUAUAUGCGCUGGGUGUUUUCAUCUCCUGCUCUGAGAUCAUAGGAGGGUGUGGAAUCAGGGGCCUAAGACAUCCUCUCCUAUUCUCAAUCCCCUUCUAUUUUACUCUGAUCUCAUGUACCUGCACUCCUUAAGUAUUUUUUUGUGUCUUCUUUAUUAAAUGAUACAUUUCCAACCAAAAGUCUAUGUAUGUAUGUCACACUCUGUUCUUUUUUUUUUUUUUUUUUUUUUUUAAGUGCUUUAAUUGUGCANNNNNNNNNNNNNNNNNNNNUUUUUUUUUUUUUUUUUUAAGGGCCUUAAUUGUGCAGCUCCAGAAGUAACAACAGAAGAAAGGGGAAAUUUCUGUAAAAGAGGUAAACCAUUGCAUCAGUUAUACCUCAUCUGCCUGCUCCAAAAAUGUGUGGUAUUUACUUAAACAGUAGUCCUUAAAUGUGCAGUACUGGUAUCUGAAGCCUGUGCUUUGGGGAGACUUUCCCAGUGCUUUAUUGUACCCAUGACUGCUGUUUCAAUAUCCACUGCUCCUGUCCCAAGCAUUGAACAAUGUGAGAUUAUUGCCUAAGCGAUACAGCCACA
ensembl:lncRNA